rnacentral:rRNA from 1 species
CUAGGAAUCUGCCUGGUAGUGGGGGACAACGUUUCGAAAGGAACGCUAAUACCGCAUACGUCCUACGGGAGAAAGCAGGGGACCUUCGGGCCUUGCGCUAUCAGAUGAGCCUAGGUCGGAUUAGCUAGUUGGUGAGGUAAUGGCUCACCAAGGCGACGAUCCGUAACUGGUCUGAGAGGAUGAUCAGUCACACUGGAACUGAGACACGGUCCAGACUCCUACGGGAGGCAGCAGUGGGGAAUAUUGGACAAUGGGCGAAAGCCUGAUCCAGCCAUGCCGCGUGUGUGAAGAAGGUCUUCGGAUUGUAAAGCACUUUAAGUUGGGAGGAAGGGCAGUAAGCGAAUACCUUGCUGUUUUGACGUUACUUUUCUGAAUAAGCACCGGCUAACUCUGUGCCAGCAGCCUCGGUAAUACAGAGGGUGCAAGCGUUAAUCGGAAUUACUGGGCGUAAAGCGCGCGUAGGUGGUUUGUUAAGUUGAAUGUGAAAGCCCCGGGCUCAACCUGGGGAACUGCAUCCAAAACUGGCAAGCUAGAGUAUGGUAGA